GCUAACUUCUCACCAAAACGUCCUUUUCUUCCCAGUCUAUAAACUUAGGAUUUGGGCAUUCUUCAUCCUUUUAGUUUAAAACGACCUUAGGUGGUGGUUCUUUUGCAAUAAUGUCACCCAUCUUCAAGGUCUGCAUCAAUUGGGUUAUUUGGGUUCUCCAAACAAGGUAGUUUGAAGAUUUCAAUUUUAUGGGACAUAUAGUUAUGAAUUGAUGGAGAGUGGCUGGUGAAAGGUAAAGAGCGGAAGUAGAUGUACCAGCCAUUGUAGAACGUGGAACAGGGUUUAGGAUACAAGAAAACUUAGAUUAGAACCAAAGCUCUUGAUACCAUGAAUAAUAUUUACAAACAAAGGAUUUCUUGAAAAUUAAUCCUCUGUACUGUUCUUCUUACUGUUACACCGUAGAAUUCCUUUCCUAGUAAUACUACCUCUCCCAAACCGUGUCAAAUACCUACUCCUACCAUAGAGCUACGUUGACCUCUCUAUCAAUUCUUAUGUGUUUUGUAUUCUUUAUUCCAUUAUAAAUGAAACUGUCGCUACCAAAUCCCUUUCUUUUAGAUCCAGAAUGAAAAGUUGAAAGUGACACAAGUGCUCCAAUUUCGCUGUUAUAAUGGGCUUUGUUCUUUCUUCGGUAUUUCGUGCUGAUUUUCUGAGUUCACUUGCAAUACAGAAUUAUGCAUCUCUUUUUAUGCUUACUCUCAAGUUCUAUUUUAUUUGAUGUCAACUCAAUCGGUUUCAGAAGAGGUAGAGGUAGACCGAAAAAAUAUUGGGGGGAGGUGAUUAGACAGGACAUGGCGCAUUUCCUGCUUACCGAGAACAUGACCUUACAUAGGAGGGUAUGGAGGACUCAUAUUAGGGUAGAAGGCUAGUAGGUAGUCACGUUUAUCCUUUCUUACGAGUAGUUAUAUUGCUCUAUAGUUUCUUGUCUCUUGAUUUCUGCGAGUAACUGUUGAUUUAUAAUGGCUUAUUUACUUUCAUUAUUUUCAUUUUCAUAAUUGCUUUGAUUUGUUUACCCGUAUCUGACCUUUCCUAUCCUUUUUCUUGAGCCGAGGGUCUUUCGGAAACAGCCUCCCUACCUAAGGUGGGGGUAAGGUCUGCGUACACUCUACCCUCCCCAGACCUCGCGUUGUGGGAUUCACUGGUUGUGGAUGUGUAAAAUAGCUUGAUGAAGCUAUCCAUAUGUUCAUAGGAAAGGCAGCUUCCAGGAAAGAAUGUGAUUCACCUUCUUGUUUGACUCCAUUGAUAAUAUGGUUUUUUACCACAAAAUGGUGACAUCUAUGAUGGAGAAACAAGUCGCACAAAAAAGUUUGACCUCCAUUGCCGGACUCAAGAUAUUCUUCUCAGAUCUGGGGUGAACAGAAAAACAAUAAGGAAAUGCUGGUAAUUUUUAGUUUAAUCCAAGCUGGAAUUACGUGGCUUUGAAAAAACACGUGUCAAACUUUCACUUGUUUGCUUUCACAAGUAGGAAGCACUUGUGAAUACCCGUAUGAGUUUUAUGUGGGAUAGAGUAUUUGGUGUUUAAUAGGUACACUUUUGCUGAGUUGGAGUGUCUAAUAGGAACAAAUCCUAGUUGAGGUGUCAAAAUGAAAAAUUGUAACAAGUUCAAUGGCUAUGCAUUUGGCCUUCUUUAAAAGCAGUUGAAAAUAACUUUGCCAUAUGAUGUUUUGUAUUUCUAAAUUAAAAUAUAUGAGAAUAGAAUAGAAGGCAAAAGACAAUGUGUGGUGGAGAAAUGAUCCUCUGGCUUUUGGUAUUCUCAACUCUCAGGUAUUGUUUAGAUACCUUGAUUCUGAAGGUGGACAGGGAGGAUUGCAGUGUUAGACAUUCGAUCCAGUAACGUUGUUGUGCUAAGAUUUACUGGAAAUGAAUGCCAUAGAUUUUAUUAAUGUUAUGCCAGAAUUAUGAUACAACCUCAUAUUAAAUAUUUAAAAAAGAAUAUAUUCUGAUGAAAUAAUUAUAAUGAUGAAGUAAUCCAAGUAUUAAGUCCAACUCAAUAAUUUAUUUAGCUCGAUGAGUUUUUUAGAACCAUGUAAAAGUUGAAUAAUAUGCACCAAUAAAAAAAAGAGUUGAAUAAUAUAAUUAGAUCGUGAUAGAGAGAGAAUUAGUUGCAUGGUUAUAAUCUAAUUACUGGGUUGGUUGCAGUCUUGUGGAGUUUUAAUUUGAGUUUCAUCCUGAGUUGCUUUGUGUUUGUGUUUUAUGUAGGUUGGAAAACCUGAUACCAAGCCUUUUAUUAUUAUCGAGUGUAAUUUCUAACGAGGUUAAUAUUUUUGUUUGAUAGGAUCCAAAAUUCAAUAUUGAACAAGUCGCAAAUGGAGAUAAUGAUUUCACGGUGAUUUCGACUCUCACUAUUAAAUUUAUUAAGAUAAUUGCUUUAAUUAUUUUAUUAAUUGUCUGUUUGUAAAGGUCUCAUUACCAAAAUGGUUGUGCACAUAUAUAUUCACUUCUGAUUUUCACAACGUCAUAUAUUUUUGUUUUGUAGGAUUUCAUGGCUGAUAAUGGCAUGAUCUCUCCUGCAAAGACCCUACCAAGAGAAGUAGAUUGAGAUUUGGAAACAUACCAUAUUUAAUAGAAGUUGAUAACGAUCUCAAUGCACAACUCUCAAGUAACAAGGUCAACAGAGUGGUUCAAAAGGAGGAAAUUGCCUGAGUUUCUGCAUCUAUGAGAGACUUGAAAAAGAUACAUUUCGUUAAAUAUCAAAUUUUCUAUUUUAUUUCUAGCCACAAAUCCUUUAACGAUACUUGGACUUGUCCAAAGUUGUCCGUUUCACAUGGUGUCGGCAAUAGUUAGUGAUUUCUAUUUU